UCCCCCGCCCCCACCGCGCCAAGCUCUGAUUGACGUUCGUGGAGCCAAUCAUAGCUAGGGCCUGAGGUGGGCGGAGCCGGGGCGCCCUGCGUGCCCCGGGACGCGCUUGCCUAGAACUCCCCCGUCCGGCAGCAGCGCCCGCGGGGGACAGCUGGCUGGCCCAGCUUCUCAGCUCCUCGGAUGGCCCCCCCUGAAACGCCAGUGCGGAAGACCCGGACCGUAGCGGUCCCUGCAGCUGGAAGCCCGAGGCUCCAUGGGAGGUCCCUUAUUGUCCCUGAGCGCCUGCCCGGAUGAAGAGGGCAUCCCGUGGCUCUGCAAAUACCUGAAGAACGCGCAAGUGACGCUAAGGCAGGAUGAGGUUUGGGGAGGUAACCGUGACCCCCAGGCAUCACCCGGCUGGGUACUGUGGAAGGGGUAGGGACUUCUGGGUUUCUCUCCGGUUCUCUCCGCGGCGCCUUGGAGUAAGGAUCAUCGUGGACAUAAAUGCUGGCCUAUUUGUGCAGGGUGCUCUGGUCAUUGGAGAGGACUUUGAAUAAUAUAGAUGCAAAGUUUGAGUAAAAGCCAGUGAAAUUACCAGGCCUCUUCAGCUUGGCUUGUGGGUUUCCCACACUGAAAAGGUGAGGUUCACAAUAGCCGCCACUGGUACGCUAGGGAGACUCACAGAUGUGCUAGAGAGGCUGGAACAGAGUGUACCCUUGGGGAAUAAGGCAAGUCGGCCUGGCGGGCAGACAGUGUGGCCAAGAAACCGCUGCGUGGGGGUCAGCACAUGCAAGUGAGUUCCUGCUGCUGCUUGGAUUGGAGGAGGUGUGGCAAGACGCUGGUGAAAACUCAUCCUGAUGGUCAGUCUGAGAAGCAGUCAAGAUGGAGAACUGCAAAAUCUGCACUACGUGUUUUCUGGGAGUCCCUGUAUCCAACAACAGGCUCCAGGGAUGGCCAGCCCCUGUGGGCUGAGCUCCACAGGCCUGGCCUGCAUUCGGAUCUCCCCCUACUUCUUAACAUGGACAGGGAAACUGACCCAGGAGCUCCAAGAGUGACCAGAAGGGCACCCAGGCACUUGAGAAACGAUUACCCUUUAUCUAAGAGAUCCACUUCAAGAACUUUCUCCUUGCAUUUCCCCAAAUUUUCCUCUGGGACUCAGUGGGAGGAAACCAGGUCCCAGAGUUGAUUAAAAACAAAUAAACCGGGCACCUGGAUGGCUCAGUAGGUUAAGUGUCUACCUUCCGCUCAGGUCAUGAUCUCAGGGUCAUGGGAUAGAGCCCCAAGUCUGGCUCCUUGCUUGGUGGGGGUCUGCUUCUCCCUCUCCCUCUGCUUCUGCCCCUCCUCCCCAUAUUUAUUUAUUUGCUCUCUCUCUUAAAUAAAUAAAAUCUUUAAAAAAUAAUAAAUAAAUGAACAAACAAAACUCUAAGUGAGCAUGCAUGAGUAAAUGGUGCUACACAGUGACGUGAUUAGGUCAUCAAAAGGGAUAACUACCAUAGGCAAAUACGAGGAGCAAAUUUGGAGUCCAAGACACUUGAUGCGGUCCCCAGACAUAGGGCUCAUUAAAGGAAAACCACUGCUUCAGGACAUACUUCUAGGACUGCAGUCGCCUAAUGCCAGGGACUUGCAUCUCUUUUUCUGCAUUGUUUCCCAAUUUUGCUCUGGCUCUGGCAUUUAAAUAUUUAUACCACUUAAAGUAUAAGACCAGUGGUUUGCUCUACAACCUCCUAACUCCCACUUCCCCGCUGGCCUCACACAGGUCGUUUUUCUCUCCCGGCAUAAUAUGCUCAUCUUCAAUAAAUAAGGGGGAGGAAUGGAAAUUGUGAGGGAGAGGAAAAAUUGGGUCUUGGCAGUGGGGCAAGAGUCGCUAAAAAUUAAAGACUUACUCUAUAAAAGGGAGCUUUGGUGUUUGGUAAUUUGGGGCUUGGGGCAGGUUUUCCAGAAUGCCAAGGACUUUGAGACUAGUGUAUCUUUUUCAUUCAUGUUUCCUUCUCAGUUUGAGAGGGCUUUUUGGCAGAGAACUGAAAAAACUGUCCACUCCUUCAUGUCUCUACAGACACCUAUAGGUUCUCUCUUCCAAGUGUUUGUCCAUUUCCAACUGGGAGAACACAGGAAGGGGGAAUAGUAGCUCAGUGGUCUCCCUGGAGAGAGCUGCAAAAUAUAUGCCUCAUCCCACAGGCUUAGGUAGACCUGAAACUCUCAACAUGGAUCCAAAGUGUUGCAAAGAAUAUAAUUUCCAACAUACCACAUAAAUUAAUACAUUUUUAAAGAUUUUAUUUAUUUAUUUGACAGAUCACAGGUAGGCAGAGAGGCAGGCAGAGAGAGACGGAAGCAGCUUCCCUGCUGAGCAGAGAACCCGGGUUCCAGGCUCGACCAGGACCCUGAGAUCGUGACCUGAGCCAAAGGCAGAGACUUAACCUACUGAGUCACCCAGGCGCCCCUAUAGUAACACAUUUAAAUAAAACUUUUAAUCACCUUGUCACAUGUCCAGUGGAAUCUAAUUACCAUAAUGUGUUGACACCCAACACUAAUAUUUAAAAUACACAAUUUCUUCCUUAACAGUUGGAAAUAUCACAUUGAUUUUUUUUUCUUUUGAAUUUAUAUUUUCAUUUUCCUCCCCUUUUGAAUUUUUUUUCUCAACCCUGGCCUGACAUUCUAGUGUAAUGUAUUUUUGGUCUUGGAAAUCUUUUCUUGAUCCAUCUAGUAUGCUUCUUUGCAACAAAGUAUGUUCUUAAAAUAAAUUUAUUUCCUGAUCUAA